CAGUCGCCGCGGGAAUACAGAGGGUGCGAGCGUUAAUCGGAUUUACUGGGCGUAAAGCGUGCGUAGGCGGCUUCUUAAGUCGGAUGUGAAAUCCCUGAGCUUAACUUAGGAAUUGCAUUCGAUACUGGGAAGCUAGAGUAUGGGAUAGGAUGGUAGAAUUCCAGGUGUAGCGGUGAAAUGCGUAGAGAUCUGGAGGAAUACCGAUGGCGAAGGCAGCCAUCUGGCCUAAUACUGACGCUGAGGUACGAAAGCAUGGGGAGCAAACAGGAUUAGAUACCCCGGUAGUCCCUGUCUCUUAUAC
rnacentral:rRNA from 1 species